GCCCCCAACUCCCGGCGGGAGGAGAGGAAUCAGAGCAGGGAGGGAGAGGGAGCCCAGGACUGCUGAACACCCAGCCCCAGCCAUCCGGACCAGAGCGCAGACACAGUGUGUGCGUGGGGUCCUGGAUAGUAGGGAAACAGGGCAGCAAGACCGGUGAGCGGGUGCCUGAGGCUGGCGCAGGAGAACAAAGAAACGCGAGCAGUCAUUUUUUUUUCUUUUUUCCUCUUUUUUUUGGCGAGUGCUUUUUGGAAGUCUUAAAGGGACAGGGACCCCAAUACUAGGGAAGCAGGGCAGCAAGACUGGUGAGCGGGUGCCUGAGGCCAGCACCUGAGGACAAAGAAAAGUAUCAAGCUCUGCCCUGUCAGAUGAUUCGGAGGGUGAUUUGCCUCAAGUGGAACACUAGCACUGAGAGUCAUUUUGGUUCUGAACUGGAUGCUGCUCUAACACUUGAGAUGAUAUCCUCUUGCGAAAAAAGUGCAAAUAUCCGAGGAGAGAUUCGUGGUUUUGAUCAUUUACUUCUGAGCUACCUACAUUUCUUGCAGAAGAAGGAAAGACAAACUUUUAAAUGUUUCAAUGGAAGAUGCAAUGUGCCCCUCUGAUGCUAUUUCAAGAUAUAGCCAAUGAAAGAAUAGUGAUAUGGUUCUUGUUGUAUGAAUGUGUAUUUACUAUUAGUAGAUUGUGUAUUUAAAGUUCCCCAGAUUAGAAGUGAGUAAAAAAAAAAAAAAGGAGGAAGAGAGAAACAUUAUAAAAGGCCAUGUUAUUUUUGUAUGUUCAACUUUGUAUGUUAUGUGAAUAAAUGUGUACGUUUA